rnacentral:rRNA from 1 species
UACGUAGGGGGCAAGCGUUGUCCGGAUUUAUUGGGCGUAAAGCGCGCGUAGGCGGCGCGGUAUGUCGUGCGUGAAAUCUCCCGGCUUAACUGGGAGGGGUCGUGCGAAACUGCCGGGCUUGAGGUCGGAAGGGGAAAGUGGAAUUCCGGGUGCAGUGGUGGAAUACGUAGAUAUCCGGAGGAACACCAGCGGCGAAGGCGGCUUUCUGGUCCGAUACUGACGCUGAGGUGCGAAAGCGUGGGGAGCGAUCCGG